rnacentral:rRNA from 1 species
CCCUUAGAUGUUCUGGGCUGCACGCGCGCUACACUGAUGCGCUCAACGAGUUUUAACCUUGCCUGGAAAGGUUGGGUAAUCUUUUUAAAACGCAUCGUGAUGGGGAUAGAUUAUUGCAAUUAUUGCUCUUCAACGAGGAAUGCCUAGUAGGCACAAGUCAUCAGCUUGUGCCGAUUACGUCCCUGCCCUUUGUACACACCGCCCGUCGCUACUACCGAUUGAAUGGCUCAGUGAGGCCUUCGGACUGGCCCAGGGAGGUUGGCAACGACCACCCAGGGCCGGAAAGUUGGUCAAACUUGGUCAUUUAGAGGAAGUAAAAGUCGUAACA